AGCAGCAACGUUGCAACAACUGUACGUGUGAAAUCAAAAAGCAUGACACACGCUGCAGCUGGGCGAGGCUGAAGUCGUUUUUUGUAGAGGUAAAGAAACGUAACGUUUUGGCCUCUUCUGACACGCAAAGAUGGCCACAGCCCUGACUCUCCUUUCAAUAAGCUGUCUGCUGCAAGGUGCCCUGUGUGGAGAGUUCAGAACAUUUAUGCCGAAGACUAUUGAGGUUCUCAGUGGAUCAUGUGUGACCAUCCCCUGCUCCUUUGACAUUGAUGACAAAUAUAAAACAAACUUAGAUAACACAUGUAAAGCAAUAUGGAAAAAUAAAGAAAACACUGUUGUGUUUGACAGCAGCAAUCCUCAACAAACUCCAAUAAAAGGAAAUUUCACAGGAGACUUAAAACAAAAAGACUGCACCACAACCCUGAACAACAUGAAACCUGCUGA